rnacentral:rRNA from 1 species
UACAGGGGGGGCAAGCGUUGUUCGGAAUUACUGGGCGUAAAGGGUUCGUAGGUGGCUCACUAAGUCACACGUGAAAUCCCUCAGCUUAACUGGGGAACUGCGUGUGAAACUGGAGAGCUUGAGGGUAGGAGAGGAAUGCAGAAUUCCAGGUGUAGCGGUGAAAUGCGUAGAUAUCUGGAGGAAUACCGGUGGCGAAGGCGGCAUUCUGGACUGGUAUUGACGCUGAGGUGCGAAAGCGUGGGGAGCAAACAGG